UGGGCCUGUGAUGAUUAAAAGAAUUUGCCUACAUUGUCUGAUCUCCUUAUCAUGAAGAGGACGAUGAAUUGUUCUGAGGCCUUG
rfam:Vitis vinifera, whole genome shotgun sequence of line PN40024, chromosome 6, chr6